rnacentral:rRNA from 1 species
GAUGAACGCUGGCGGCGUGCCUAAUACAUGCAAGUCGAGCGAACAGACGAGGAGCUUGCUCCUCUGACGUUAGCGGCGGACGGGUGAGUAACACGUGGAUAACCUACCUAUAAGACUGGGAUAACUUCGGGAAACCGGCGCUAAUACCGGAUGAUAUAUUGAACCGCAUGGUUCAAUAGUGAAAGACGGUUUUGCUGUCACUUAUAGAUGGAUCCGCGCUGCAUUAGCUAGUUGGUAAGGUAACGGCUUACCAAGGCAACGAUGCGUAGCCGACCUGAGAGGGUGAUCGGCCACACUGGAACUGAGACACGGUCCAGACUCCUACGGGAGGCAGCAGUAGGGAAUCUUCCGCAAUGGGCGAAAGCCUGACGGAGCAACGCCGCGUGAGUGAUGAAGGUCUUCGGAUCGUAAAACUCCGUUAUUAGGGAAGAACAGAUGUGUAAGUAACUGUGCACGUCUUGACGGUACCUAAUCAGAAAGCCACGGCUAACUACGUG